CCUACGGGAGGCAGCAGUGGGGAAUAUUGGACAAUGGGGGCAACCCUGAUCCAGCCAUGCCGCGUGUGUGAAGAAGGCCCUCGGGUUGUAAAGCACUUUCAGUGAGGAAGAACGCCUGGUGGUUAAUACCCAUCAGGAAAGACAUCACUCACAGAAGAAGCACCGGCUAACUCCGUGCCAGCAGCCGCGGUAAUACGGAGGGUGCGAGCGUUAAUCGGAAUUACUGGGCGUAAAGCGCGCGUAGGUGGCUUGAUAAGCCGGUUGUGAAAGCCCCGGGCUCAACCUGGGAACGGCAUCCGGAACUGUCAAGCUAGAGUGCAGGAGAGGAAGGUAGAAUUCCCGGUGUGGCGGUGAAAUGCGUAGAGAUCGGGAGGAAUACCAGUGGCGAAGGCGGCCUUCUGGACUGACACUGACACUGAGGUGCGAAAGCGUGGGUAGCAAACAGGAUUAGAUACCCUUGUAGUC
rnacentral:rRNA from 1 species